rnacentral:rRNA from 1 species
GCUGGGUGGAUUAGUGGCGAACGGGUGAGUAACACGUGAGUAACCUGCCCUUAACUCUGGGAUAAGCCUGGGAAACUGGGUCUAAUACCGGAUAGGAGCGUCCACCGCAUGGUGGGUGUUGGAAAGAUUUAUCGGUUUUGGAUGGACUCGCGGCCUAUCAGCUUGUUGGUGAGGUAAUGGCUCACCAAGGCGACGACGGGUAGCCGGCCUGAGAGGGUGACCGGCCACACUGGGACUGAGACACGGCCCAGACUCCUACGGGAGGCAGCAGUGGGGAAUAUUGCACAAUGGGCGCAAGCCUGAUGCAGCGACGCCGCGUGAGGGAUGACGGCCUUCGGGUUGUAAACCUCUUUCAGUAGGGAAGAAGCGAAAGUGACGGUACCUGCAGAAGAAGCACCGGCUAACUACGUGCCAGCAGCCGCGGUAAUACGUAGGGUGCGAGCGUUAUCCGGAAUUAUUGGGCGUAAAGAGCUCGUAGGCGGUUUGUCGCGUCUGUCGUGAAAGUCCGGGGCUUAACCCCGGAUCUGCGGUGGGUACGGGCAGACUAGAGUGCAGUAGGGGAGACUGGAAUUCCUGGUGUAGCGGUGGAAUGCGCAGAUAUCAGGAGGAACACCGAUGGCGAAGGCAGGUCUCUGGGCUGUAACUGAC